rnacentral:rRNA from 1 species
AUUGAACGCUGGCGGCAUGCCUUACACAUGCAAGUCGAACGGCAGCGCGGGGCAACCUGGCGGCGAGUGGCGAACGGGUGAGUAAUAUAUCGGAACAUACCCUAGAGUGGGGGAUAACGUAGCGAAAGUUACGCUAAUACCGCAUACGCACUAAGGUGGAAAGUGGGGGAUUCGCAAGAACCUCAUGCUCAUGGAGUGGCCGAUAUCUGAUUAGCUAGUUGGUGAGGUAAAGGCUCACCAAGGCGACGAUCAGUAGCUGGUUUGAGAGAACGACCAGCCACACUGGGACUGAGAUACGGCCCAGACUCCUACGGGAGGCAGCAGUGGGGAAUAUUGGACAAUGGGGGCAACCCUGAUCCAGCAAUGCCGCGUGAGUGAUGAAGGCCUUAGGGUUGUAAAGCUCUUUUGCCAGGGAAGAUGAUGACUGUACCUGGAGAAUAAGCCCCGGCUAACUUCGUGCCAGCAGCCGCGGUAA